CUGCUGCUCCGCUCGGACUUCCCUGCUCCCUAUAAGGCCCGCCCGAACCGCCAUGGGGUGUUGGUAGGAUCCGUCAUCGAUCUGGCAGAGGGUAGAGAGAGACCGGGGAAGGAAACAGUUGGAUGCCAGAGGGAGAUUGGGAGAGAUGCAGGGUCAACGGCGUCGACUCUUGCCCGUGUAGUCGCUCGGUGUCCGCGGUGUUCCCUGGGUAGUUCGCCGUCGUGUGCUCGGCGGGUGCUCGGAGUUGUCGGAGUUGGGGGCAAGUUGGAGUGCUGCCAAUUUCUUGACGGAGCUGGCGCGGCCGCGGUGCCGCAGACCAUCGUCGACCGGAUCCUCUGCGAUAACGUCGUCGGGGGUUCAAAAAGUAUAGACGAGACCUGGUGGUUGGGCGCGCAGGCUGCGAGUUGGUGCAGCGAUGAGCUGAUCAGCAAGUGCAGCUUCCGCACCGCCCGCCUAACAAGGAAGCCGCGCACUACGGCUUGCAGGCGCACCACGGCCUGCUCAUGUGAUGACGGCCAUGGGGUGGCCCUGGAGGCCACAGCAAGGUGCUUCUCCCCACGAAGGAACUGUACCUGGCGGCGUGCCAGGAACCCUCGCGCUGCCGUCUGA
rnacentral:misc_RNA from 1 species